AAUGACUCUCGGCAACGGAUAUCUCGGCUCUCGCAUCGAUGAAGAACGUAGCGAAAUGCGAUACUUGGUGUGAAUUGCAGAAUCCCGUGAACCAUCGAGUCUUUGAAUGCAAGUUGCGCCCGAAGCCUUUUGGCCGAGGGCACGUUUGCCUGGGCGU
rnacentral:rRNA from 1 species